GAUGAACGCUGGCGGCGUGCCUAAUACAUGCAAGUCGAACGCUGAUUAUCGAAAGCUUGCUUUUGAUAUGAUGAGUGGCGAACGGGUGAGUAACACGUGGGAAACCUACCUCUUAGCAGGGGAUAACAUUUGGAAACAGAUGCUAAUACCGUAUAACAGUUAAAACCGCAUGGUUUUAAUUUAAAAGAUGGUUCUGCUAUCACUAAGAGAUGGUCCCGCGGUGCAUUAGCUAGAUGGUGAGGUAACGGCUCACCAUGGCGAUGAUGCAUAGCCGAGUUGAGAGACUGAUCGGCCACAAUGGGACUGAGACACGGCCCAUACUCCUACGGGAGGCAGCAGUAGGGAAUCUUCCACAAUGGGCGCAAGCCUGAUGGAGCAACGCCGCGUGUGUGAUGAAGGGUUUCGGCUCGUAAAGCACUGUUGUAAGAGAAGAAUGACAUUGAGAGUAACUGUUCAGUGUGUGACGGUAUCUUACCAGAAAGGGACGGCUAAAUACGUGCCAGCAGCCGCAGUAACAC
rnacentral:rRNA from 1 species